ensembl:lncRNA
GAAACCCAUUCCUGAUUCCGCUCUCAAUUACUGCCUCACAAUGGGCACCUGGACAGGAGGAAGACAAGUGCAGGCCAGAGGUGUCAGCAGAAUGGAAAACAUCCUGAAGACUGUGGUGGUUGAUGUUGACUAAACCCCGCUCUCCACCAGCCAUGAGGAGAGAGAAGUCUCUAGAGUGGAUAGCAGGAAUUCUGACUACAGACUAGACAGAAGCUUCCAGAGGACAAAACCAUGCUAGCCCUCAUUCGACUGGACACAGAAUGACCAACAAGUCUCUGUUGCCUACAGUGAAGAGUUGUGGGACCUGUGACUGGGGCAGUCUUAGGUAAACUCAACAAGCUGUCACCUUAGCUGUAAGGAUCAGAACACAUGGUAGUUCUCAGGUCUCUAGGACACAGGCCAGAAGAGAACUGGGAUCCCCAUAGUACUAACUUUUAAGUGAGUCCACACCUCACCCCAAUCACGGACACCAAGUCCCUAGACAUGCUUCCUUCCUAGUCUCACACCAGCAUUUUACCAACUGAGCCAUCUACCUGGGGCACUGAGUAGUGUCUUUGGAGUUCACUAGACAGACAAGUGGUGUCAGAGGACACCAGCUUGUGAAAGAUCUCCAGUAUUCAGAGUGCAAGUGUUGUUUUGUUUUGUCUUUUUUUAACAUGACGAUUUUUUAGAUAUACAGGUGUCUGCUGAGAUGACGUGCACUGUAAGACCAGAGGAGUGGGGUGCAGAAGUUAGACAGUGGGGAUGGUACUGAUACAGCCUUUCCAUGUGGCCCUAGAAGACCUGCAAGGUUUUAGUCAGGACAGUCUACACCUCUGGAUUUGUACUUUAGAAAGACCACAAUGGAUGAUGUGAUGGAUUUCAGGGUAGCAUCUGGUGAUCUGAAGGCCCAAGCAAUUCUGCACAGAGCAGGGGAGGCAGAAAGGGUCAAAGGCAGGCCCCGCACAGCAAACGAGAGUUCACAGAUUCAAAAGAGAUUUUGUAAGCCAGUAGGGUUGAGCCUGGUGUCUGGAUGGACUUGGAGAACAAGAGGCAGGGAAGACGGAAAGGUAGAGCGAGCACAGAAAGAAAGAUAAUUCCUACAUUGAUAAAAUAAAUGGAUGGUGGUGCCAUCCAUUUAGAGAGGAGAAAGGUGGCAGCAGCUUGGAAUACCUGUAAUGCAUUCGAAUACCAGUCAGCAGGAGAGGAGCCUGGGAGAGAAUAUGGAACUGAAACUCCCUCCUAGCUUAAGAGGUGGGGGGGGCGGCCUGGGAAGUGACGGUGCACACCUGCAGUUCCAGCACUUGGGAGGCAGAGGCAGGUGGAUCUCUGUGAGUUUGAGGCCAGCCUGGUCUACAGAAUGAGUUCAGGACAGGCUCUAAAGUUACACAGAGAAACCCUGUCUUGAAAAAAUGUGGAGGGGGCCAUUUAAGUCAUUCAUGCCUCACUUGAGAGCAACCCUCCAUGAAGUAGCAUGCACGCCAAGAAGCUGUUCCAUCUCCACACAUUUCUUAUCCUUCUAGACAUCCAAGGGUGUCACUAAAGUUGCAAAAUCCUUAAGAAUUUUAUAGAAAGCCCAAUGUGUAGAGGUGAUACCUUCGCUUUCUUGUAUCCUCAC